GGGUCUCAGCAACUCCAACCACCACCUUGAGAGGAAAAAGCAAUCCUUGAAAGUAGCACGAUGCGCUGCCUCCCAGCCGGGCUGAGGGCUCUGCCCCGCAACCCACAAUAACAGACUUUGCCAGCUAGGGGAUAAGGAAGCACUUCACUGCUGCCAAAGCAUGGCAAAAUAAAAUAAAUAAAAAUUUCAAAAGCGUGUAGACAUUCUGGGAGCCCUGAGAGAGGUUUUCUGUGGGAUAUAACUAAUGUUACAACCGCAGCUAGGAGCAUAAGACUAAAUGACUUUCCAUGACACUGUAUCUAAAAUCCCAAGAGAAAGUCUCAUGAAACAGCUUUACAAAACAGCCUCAUGAUUGUCUAACCACCACGGCAGUGGUGACCGUGAUCUGACGCGACGCCACUCCCAGACUAAAGCCCGCUCUCCACCGUGGCAGAGUGAGAAAGCAGUUCAUUUUCCAUGACCUGAUUUACUUUGCUCACCACACGUUACGGCGACAUUAUCACGCUCAAUGUGAUCAAUGACCCGUCUAAGCCAAUACUCUAUAGAAAAGUGGAAGAAACCUCAUACCAGGCUGAGCUCUCCAUGCCAGGCCAGCUCCUAAGCGAGGGAAAUCGUAGCUCUCUCUGACUCACCAAUGUGGCUCCUCAUGAGCUGCCCACGAGACAGGCAUCAUGGAAUCACCAGUUCUCAGCUGUCAAAGGGAUUUCCCCAGAAAAGAAAUGAUGUUUUUUUCAUCUCCAGAUUGCCUAUUUGGUAGAGUCCUUGGAAAAGUCAAGGAAGGGGGUAAAUGCCAAGAUACCACUGGGGUUUAAAAUAGCGACUUUGGGAAGUUAAUCUAAGAGUAGACUUUCUGAAAAAGCAAGGCCAAAACAUUUCUAAAAGACUCCUGGACUUCCCAGC